UACGUAGGCAGCAAGCGUUGUUCGGAGUUACUGGGCGUAAAGAGUGCGUAGGCGGUUUCGUAAGUUUGGUGUGAAAUCUCCCGGCUUAACUGGGAGGGUGCGCCGAAAACUGCGGGGCUGGAGUAUGGGAGAGGUAAGCGGAAUUCCUGGUGUAGCGGUGAAAUGCGUAGAUAUCAGGAGGAACACCGGCGGUGUAGACGGCUUACUGGACCAUGACUGACGCUGAGGCACGGAAAGCGUGGGGGAGCAAACAGG
rnacentral:rRNA from 1 species